rnacentral:rRNA from 1 species
GCAGUCGAACGGCAGCGCGGGGCAACCUGGCGGCGAGUGGCGAACGGGUGAGUAAUAUAUCGGAACGUACCCAGAAGUGGGGGAUAACGUAGCGAAAGUUACGCUAAUACCGCAUACGAUCUACGGAUGAAAGUGGGGGACCUUCGGGCCUCAUGCUUGUGGAGCGGCCGAUAUCUGAUUAGCUAGUUGGUGAGGUAAAGGCUCACCAAGGCGACGAUCAGUAGCUGGUCUGAGAGGACGACCAGCCACACUGGGACUGAGACACGGCCCNGACUCCUACGGGAGGCAGCAGUGGGGAAUUUUGGACAAUGGGCGCAAGCCUGAUCCAGCAAUGCCGCGUGAGUGAAGAAGGCCUUCGGGUUGUAAAGCUCUUUUGUCAGGGAAGAAACGGCCGAGGCUAAUACCUUUGGCUAAUGACGGUACCUGAAGAAUAAGCACCGGCUAACUACGUGCCAGCAGCCGCGGUAAUACGUAGGGUGCAAGCGUUAAUCGGAAUUACUGGGCGUAAAGCGUGCGCAGGCGGUUUUGUAAGUCUGACGUGAAAUCCCCGGGCUCAACCUGGGAAUUGCGUUGGAGACUGCAAGGCUGGAGUCUGGCAGAGGGGGGUAGAAUUCCACGUGUAGCAGUGAAAUGCGUAGAGAUGUGGAGGAACACCGAUGGCGAAGGCAGCCCCCUGGGUCAAGACUGACGCUCAUGCACGAAAGCGUGGGGAGCAAACAGGAUUAGAUACCCUGGUAGUCCACGCCCUAAACGAUGUCUACUAGUUGUCGGGUUUUAAUUAACUUGGUAACGCAGCUAACGCGUGAAGUAGACCGCCUGGGGAGUACGGUCGCAAGAUUAAAACUCAAAGGAAUUGACGGGGACCCGCACAAGCGGUGGAUGAUGUGGAUUAAUUCGAUGCAACGCGAAAAACCUUACCUACCCUUGACAUGGAAGGAAUCCUGGAGAGAUCCGGGAGUGCCCGAAAGGGAGCCUUCACACAGGUGCUGCAUGGCUGUCGUCAGCUCGUGUCGUGAGAUGUUGGGUUAAGUCCCGCAACGAGCGCAACCCUUGUCAUUAGUUGCUACGCAAGAGCACUCUAAUGAGACUGCCGGUGACAAACCGGAGGAAGGUGGGGAUGACGUCAAGUCCUCAUGGCCCUUAUGGGUAGGGCUUCACACGUCAUACAAUGGUACAUACAGAGGGCCGCCAACCCGCGAGGGGGAGCUAAUCCCAGAAAGUGUAUCGUAGUCCGGAUUGUAGUCUGCAAC